rnacentral:tRNA from 1 species
CGGGGUAUGGCGCAGCGGUAGCGCGCGCGGUUCGGGACCGUGAGGUCGCAGGUUCAAAUCCUGUUGCCCCGACCA